rnacentral:piRNA from 1 species
UUACAUAACUGAGGGUUUUCU